rnacentral:rRNA from 1 species
CAAUGCCGCCUGCUAAUACAUGCAGUCGAGCGGACAGAUGGGAGCUUGCUCCCUGAUGUUAGCGGCGGACGGGUGAGUAACACGUGGGUAACCUGCCUGUAAGACUGGGAUAACUCCGGGAAACCGGGGCUAAUACCGGAUGCUUGUUUGAACCGCAUGGUUCAAACAUAAAAGGUGGCUUCGGCUACCACUUACAGAUGGACCCGCGGCGCAUUAGCUAGUUGGUGAGGUAACGGCUCACCAAGGCAACGAUGCGUAGCCGACCUGAGAGGGUGAUCGGCCACACUGGGACUGAGACACGGCCCAGACUCCUACGGGAGGCAGCAGUAGGGAAUCUUCCGCAAUGGACGAAAGUCUGACGGAGCAACGCCGCGUGAGUGAUGAAGGUUUUCGGAUCGUAAAGCUCUGUUGUUAGGGAAGAACAAGUGCCGUUCAAAUAGGGCGGCACCUUGACGGUACCUAACCAGAAAGCCACGGCUAACUACGUGCCAGCAGCCGCGGUAAUACGUAGGUGGCAAGCGUUGUCCGGAAUUAUUGGGCGUAAAGGGCUCGCAGGCGGUUUCUUAAGUCUGAUGUGAAAGCCCCCGGCUCAACCGGGGAGGGUCAUUGGAAACUGGGGAACUUGAGUGCAGAAGAGGAGAGUGGAAUUCCACGUGUAGCGGUGAAAUGCGUAGAGAUGUGGAGGAACACCAGUGGCGAAGGCGACUCUCUGGUCUGUAACUGACGCUGAGGAGCGAAAGCGUGGGGAGCGAACAGGAUUAGAUACCCUGGUAGUCCACGCCGUAAACGAUGAGUGCUAAGUGUUAGGGGGUUUCCGCCCCUUAGUGCUGCAGCUAACGCAUUAAGCACUCCGCCUGGGGAGUACGGUCGCAAGACUGAAACUCAAAGGAAUUGACGGGGGCCCGCACAAGCGGUGGAGCAUGUGGUUUAAUUCGAAGCAACGCGAAGAACCUUACCAGGUCUUGACAUCCUCUGACAAUCCUAGAGAUAGGACGUCCCC